GAUGAACGCUGGCGGUAUGCUUAACACAUGCAAGUCGAACGGACUCUUCGGAGUUAGUGGCGGACGGGUGAGUAACGCGUGAGAAUCUGGCUUUGGGUUCGGGACAACCACUGGAAACGGUGGCUAAUACCGGAUGUGCCGAGAGGUAAAAGAGAAAUUGCCUGAAGAUGAGCUCGCGUCUGAUUAGCUAGUUGGUGAGGUAAAGGCUCACCAAGGCAGCGAUCAGUAGCUGGUCUGAGAGGAUGACCAGCCACACUGGGACUGAGACACGGCCCAGACUACUACGGGAGGCAGCAGUGGGGAAUUUUCCGCAAUGGGCGAAAGCCUGACGGAGCAAUACCGCGUGAGGGGAGGAGGCUCUUGGGUUGUAAACCUCUUUUCUUAGGGAAGAACAAAAUGACGGUACCUAAGGAAUCAGCACCGGCUAACUCCGUG
rnacentral:rRNA from 1 species